CCUACGGGGGGCUGCAGUGGGGAAUUUUGCGCAAUGGGCGAAAGCCUGACGCAGCAACGCCGCGUGGGUGAUGAAGGUCUUCGGAUCGUAAAACCCUGUCGUUGGGGACGAAGGUGGGGGCGUUAAUAGCGUUUCUGCUUGACGGUACCCGGAGAGGAAGCCCCGGCUCACUCUGUGCCAGCAGCCGCGGUAAUACAGAGGGGGCAAGCGUUAUGCGGAGGGCGUGGGGGCAGAUGUCGAGUUGGCGUGUGUAAGCCCCGAGCUCAACUUGGGAACUGCAUCUGAGACUGGAAGGCUAGAGUACUGGAGAGGGGGGUGGAAGUCCUCGUGUAGCGGUGAAAUGCGUAGAGAUGAGGAGGAACACCAGUGGCGAAGGCGGCCACCUGGACAGUAACUGACGCUGAGGCGCGAAAGUGUGGGUAGCAAACAGGAUUAGAUACCCCGGUAGUC
rnacentral:rRNA from 1 species